rnacentral:lncRNA from 1 species
GGAGGCAAGGUCUGGGACGAGCAAAAGAAAAACACCUACGCAGACAAAGUGUUUGACUGCAUCGAGGCCUAUGCCCCCGGCUUCAAGAGAUCUGUGCUGGGCAGAGAUAUCCUCACCCCACAGGACCUAGAGAGGAUCUUCGGGCUUCCUGGAGGGGAAGCAGGACCUUGUAGAGAGCUUCGGAUUACCAGAUAAAGGAAACUGGAGGCCAGAAGCUAGAAGGCUGCCUAGAAGCCUGCCUGGAGCCCGGGAGCGCAGGAGCGCGGGAGCCUGGGAGCAAUGAGUCUAGGAGGCCUGUGAGGACUCAGGGAACCCAUGUGGAGUCUGGAGUUCAAGCUGAGGCAGUUCCAACCCUGCAGCUGCCGGCCACAGGAGCUACUGAUCCUAAAGAAGCCAUAGUGAGCUGAGUGGUCUAUGAUACACAUCAGUGGGGAACCCAGCAGGGAUGUAAAUGCCGCCAUCGUGUUAAACCAUGACAUUGACUAUGUGCCAAAACAAUCAGAUUUGGAAUCUAUUAGACUAACUAAAAUACACUAUUGACAUAAAUGUCACUAAUU